rnacentral:rRNA from 1 species
GACAGAGGUGCCGAGCGUUAGGCGGAAUCACUGGGCUUAAAGCGUGUGUAGGCGGACCCAUAAGUACCUUGUGAAAUCCCACGGCUCAACCGUGGAACUGCUGGGUAUACUGCGGGUCUUGAGCGGCCUAGGGGCAGACGGAACAAGUGGUGGAGCGGUGAAAUGCGUAGAUAUCACUUGGAACGCCGACGGUGAAAACAGUCUGCUGGGGGCCUGCUGACGCUGAGACACGAAAGCCAGGGGAGCGAACGGG